rnacentral:rRNA from 1 species
CAACGUUAAUCGGGGCAGGGUGAGUCGACCCCUAAGGCGAGGCCGAAAGGCGUAGUCGAUGGGAAACAGGUUAAUAUUCCUGUACUUGGUGUUACUGCGAAGGGGGGACGGAGAAGGCUAUGUUGGCCGGGCGACGGUUGUCCCGGUUUAAGCGUGUAGGCUGGUUUUCCAGGCAAAUCCGGAAAAUCAAGGCUGAGGCGUGAUGACGAGGCACUACGGUGCUGAAGCGACAAAUGCCCUGCUUCCAGGAAAAGCCUCUAAGCAUCAGGUAACAUCAAAUCGUACCCCAAACCGACACAGGUGGUCAGGUAGAGAAUACCAAGGCGCUUGAGAGAACUCGGGUGAAGGAACUAGGCAAAAUGGUGCCGUAACUUCGGGAGAAGGCACGCUGAUAUGUAGGUGAAGCGACUUGCUCGUGGAGCUGAAAUCAGUCGAAGAUACCAGCUGGCUGCAACUGUUUAUUAAAAACACAGCACUGUGCAAACACGAAAGUGGACGUAUACGGUGUGACGCCUGCCCGGUGCCGGAAGGUUAAUUGAUGGGGUUAGCGGUAACGCGAAGCUCUUGAUCGAAGCCCCGGUAAACGGCGGCCGUAACUAUAACGGUCCUAAGGUAGCGAAAUUCCUUGUCGGGUAAGUUCCGACCUGCACGAAUGGCGUAAUGAUGGCCAGGCUGUCUCCACCCGAGACUCAGUGAAAUUGAACUCGCUGUGAAGAUGCAGUGUACCCGCGGCAAGACGGAAAGACCCCGUGAACCUUUACUAUAGCUUGACACUGAACAUUGAGCCUUGAUGUGUAGGAUAGGUGGGAGGCUUUGAAGUGUGGACGCCAGUCUGCAUGGAGCCGACCUUGAAAUACCACCCUUUAAUGUUUGAUGUUCUAACGUGGGCCCCUUACCGGGGUUGCGGACAGUGUCUGGUGGGUAGUUUGACUGGGGCGGUCUCCUCCUAAAGAGUAACGGAGGAGCACGAAGGUUGGCUAAUCCUGGUCGGACAUCAGGAGGUUAGUGCAAUGGCAUAAGCCAGCUUGACUGCGAGCGUGACGGCGCGAGCAGGUGCGAAAGCAGGUCAUAGUGAUCCGGUGGUUCUGAAUGGAAGGGCCAUCGCUCAACGGAUAAAAGGUACUCCGGGGAUAACAGGCUGAUACCGCCCAAGAGUUCAUAUCGACGGCGGUGUUUGGCACCUCGAUGUCGGCUCAUCACAUCCUGGGGCUGAAGUAGGUCCCAAGGGUAUGGCUGUUCGCCAUUUAAAGUGGUACGCGAGCUGGGUUUAGAACGUCGUGAGACAGUUCGGUCCCUAUCUGCCGUGGGCGCUGGAGAACUGAGGGGGGCUGCUCCUAGUACGAGAGGACCGGAGUGGACGCAUCACUGGUGUUCGGGUUGUCAUGCCAAUGGCACUGCCCGGUAGCUAAAUGCGGAAGAGAUAAGUGCUGAAAGCAUCUAAGCACGAAACUUGCCCCGAGAUGAGUUCUCCCUGACUCCUUGAGAGUCCUGAAGGAACGUUGAAGACGACGACGUUGAUAGGCCGGGUGUGUAAGCGCAGCGAUGCGUUGAGCUAACCGGUACUAAUGAACCGUGAGGCUUAACCUUACAACGCCGAAG